AGGCUGUUUUUACUCCGUCACUCGUCAAUGCCCGUAUCUCCCCGCCUGCGUCACGACUUGCUCUGCUGAAAUUACCGCACCAUAACCACGUCAUCUGCCCCAAUGAUCUACGGGCCGGAGAACCAGCGCAGAAAAGGAGUAAGUUUAAUUGGUCGCCAGAUGAAACGGUCUUCUUACAUCAAAUUCAAGAAAAAAUACGUAUAAUCAGAGGGUGUUAUGGGAAGAGUAUCACCCCUGAGGAUAAGAAGAGAGCGUGGACUGAAGUGGCAGAAGCUGUAACAAGUGCCUUCCCUGGGAGUGGACCCCGUACGCAGGAUGACUGUGAGAGGCGUUGGUACAACGUACAACAAAAAUCAAAGCCUUGCAUUGCCAAGUGCAAGAAUGAGCAGCAGCAGACUGAUACACACUUUAUCAGUAUUGCUAGAGACCAUCCCAGCACAUUGUUCAUUACUUGUGGAAAAGAUACCAUUAGCUGCUCCAGCAACAGCCACUGCUUCAAUAUCUGCUGGCCCUAUGACACCAGCCACUGCUUCAUCAUC